GUGACACGCUCCUGGAUGUGGAUGAGCAUUCACGUAAACCAGGCGCGGGAGAGGAGAUCGUGGCUUUCAGUGCUCAGGAGAGCAUCAAAUAGCUUCGCUUUCAAAUCAAAGUGAGAUUGCAGUGGUUGUGUUGUCAUCGUCCCCGUUCCGCCGCUGUGGUCUUUGCGAGGAGGAGGCGUCUUUGGGGAGCGGGUCCAGCCAGGCUCGUUGCUAUGGCAAAGUCUCUGCUGAUGCCUGCUCUCUGCCUGCAAUUGCUAUUCAGCAGCUGUUUC
rnacentral:lncRNA from 1 species